UGCAAUAAAAAAGGUCAUAUGGUUCAUUCAUAUCCUAUAAGAAGAGGAAAUAUAAAAGUAAAGAAAAUCUAGGUAUCAUAAGGUACAACUCCUAUUUUUACUAAUAUGCAAAGGAUCCAAAAGAAUUUGGAUACCUAAAUUAGAUAUUUGAUUUCAGGUCUGUCUCAAGCAUAAAGAGGAAAUAAAUAAAUGACAUGUUGAUAGUAGAUGCUCAUGUCACAUGACUGGAGACAAGAUCUUAUUCAAUAAGCUGAUUAUGAAAUCAAAAGAAUUUGUAAGAUUUGGAGAUAAAGGAAGAG
rnacentral:lncRNA from 1 species